GACAGAGGGUGCAAACGUUGUUCGGAUUUACUGGGCGUAAAGCGCGUGUAGGCGGCUUUGCAAGUCGGAUGUGAAAGCCCACGGCUCAACCGUGGAAGUGCAUCCGAAACUGCAUGGCUUGAGUCUCGGAGAGGAAGGUGGAAUGCUUGGUGUGGAGGUGAAAUUCGUAGAUAUCAAGCAGAACACCUGCGGCGAAGGCGGCCUUCUGGACGAUGACUGACGCUGAGACGCGAAAGCGUGGGGAGCAAACAGG
rnacentral:rRNA from 1 species